rnacentral:rRNA from 1 species
GUUAGAGGAUCGAAGGCGAUUAGAUACCGCCCUAGUUCUAAC